UCCCAUCCCACCUUUCUCUCCCUCCUCGAAAUCACCGCCCCGCCCUUCGCCGGCGGCCAUGGAGUCAUCGUCGUACCUGAACCUGUUCGUGGAGGAGACCAGCUUCUACAACCGCAUUGUCCUCAACAGCCUCCUGCCCAACUGGAUGUGGGCCCCGCUGCCGCCCUUCUACCAGUCGUGGCUGCGCAACUACCUCGGCGGCACCAUCCUCUACCUCAUCUCCGGCUUCCUCUGGUGCUUCUACAUUUACUACCUCAAACGCAAUGUCUAUCUCCCCAAAGAUGCCAUUCCCUCUAAUAAAGCCAUGCUUUUGCAAAUAUAUGUUGCCAUGAAGGCCAUGCCGUGGUAUUGUGCUCUUCCGUCUAUCUCUGAGUACAUGGUUGAAAAUGGCUGGUCGAGGUGCUUCUCAAGAAUAAGUGAUGUAGGUUGGGUUGCCUACUUCAUCUACUUGGCGAUUUAUCUUAUAAUUGUGGAGUUCGGGAUCUAUUGGAUGCAUAGGGAGUUGCAUGACAUAAAGCCGCUGUACAAAUGGCUUCAUAAUAUACAUCACAUCUAUAACAAGCAGAAUACCCUCUCUCCAUUUGCUGGUUUAGCUUUCCAUCCACUUGAUGGGAUACUGCAGGCAGUUCCGCAUGUUAUAGCUCUCUUUCUUGUGCCAAUGCAUUUGACUACUCACGUAGUGCUCCUAUUUAUUGAAGCCAUAUGGACAGCAAAUAUUCAUGAUUGCAUCCAUGCCAAUAUAUGGCCUGUGAUGGGUGCUGGCUACCACACAAUUCAUCAUACUACCUAUCGCCACAAUUAUGGCCAUUAUACGAUAUGGAUGGACUGGAUGUUUGGAACGCUUCGCGACCCUAUCACUGAGGAGUCAAAGGUCUUAUGAAGCACGCUUACCUUCCUGAGCACUGAGUUUCCCAUUGAUUUUAAAUGUGAAAUAUCGGGAUUUUUGAGGUCCAUAAGAAUGCUUCAGUAAGGAUAUGCAGAUGGUCUUGACAUUUUUUUUUCUGUGAAGCUUGACAGACUGAGAGUAGGUGAGGUGCAUUGUGGUGUUGGGCACUGCCCAGAAUUGCUCGGUAAAUUGAUGUGUCAUCUCCCACAUUUGUCACAACCCUGCUAAAGUUUUUGGUCCUCAAAAUGUCAGUUUUGUUGAAGAUGGCCAUGAUUGAGGGAUGGUUCAGUUUGGCGGGCGAUUGUCUGCAAGU